rnacentral:rRNA from 1 species
CUUGCUCCGGAGUUAGCGGCGGACGGGUGAGUAACACGUAGGUAACCUGCCCCUUAGACUGGGAUAACUCCGGGAAACCGGAGCUAAUACGGGAUAAUAAAGAGAAUCGCCUGAUUUUCUUUUGAAAGACGGCGUCUAGCUGUCACUAAGGGAUGGACCUGCGGCGCAUUAGCUAGUUGGUAAGGUAACGGCUUACCAAGGCGACGAUGCGUAGCCGACCUGAGAGGGUGAUCGGCCACACUGGGACUGAGACACGGCCCAGACUCCUACGGGAGGCAGCAGUAGGGAAUCUUCCGCAAUGGACGAAAGUCUGACGGAGCAACGCCGCGUGAGUGAGGAAGGCCUUCGGGUCGUAAAGCUCUGUUGUGAGGGAAGAACAAGUGCCGGCGUAACUACCGGCACCUUGACGGUACCUCACCAGAAAGCCACGGCUAACUACGUGCCAGCAGCCGCGGUAAUACGUAGGUGGCAAGCGUUGUCCGGAAUUAUUGGGCGUAAAGCGCGCGCAGGCGGCUUCUUAAGUCUGAUGUGAAAUCUCGGGG